AGUAAAAUUAAAAAAAAAUGAGCGUUCUGUCUUCUCAUAAAUAUAAAGUUGCCCUAGCUAAGUCUUUCUCCAGUCGAAAUCCUCCUACCCUAAUCUUAAUGUUGAAACUUUAUUUUUGUUGCAUCUCUCUCCUACAUCGAAGCAACUCUGCUCUAAAAUCGAAUCAAGUACCAUCAUAUCUCUGUUGAAGGUAAAAUUUCGGCGCAAGACUUACAGGUUGGAGGUAAGUUAAAGACUAAAAGGCAAGCUUGGGAAUCGACUCUCUCAAGAUUAAGUAUGUCCUCAUAUAUUCGAGGUUGGAGGCAAGUUGGAGACUAGAAGGCAAGAUUAGGAAUUGACUCUCUCAAGACUAAGUAUGUCCUCAUAUAUUCGAGGGCAUAGUCUUUAUUUCCUUAGUUUCUACUAUUAAGACUUAUUAUGUAUUUUCAUUCAAUGUAAAGGGCCGUGUCCCUAAGAUAUUUAAGUUGUGUCUUUAAGAUGGCUUGUGACGACGAGACUACUCUUUAGUAUUUAUAAAAUAUAUUUCAUUACUAUUAUAAA